ACGGAAGGCAGCAGUGGGGGAUAUUGCACAAUGGGGGAAACCCUGAUGCAGCGACGCCGCGUGAGUGAAGAAGUAUUUCGGUAUGUAAAGCUCUAUCAGCAGGGAAGAAAAUGACGGUACCUGACUAAGAAGCUCCGGCUAAAUACGUGCCAGCAGCCGCGGUAAUACGUAUGGAGCAAGCGUUAUCCGGAUUUACUGGGUGUAAAGGGAGCGUAGACGGCGAGGCAAGUCUGAUGUGAAAGCCAUGGGCUCAACCCAUGAACUGCAUUGGAAACUGUCUUGCUUGAGUGUCGGAGAGGUAAGCGGAAUUCCUAGUGUAGCGGUGAAAUGCGUAGAUAUUAGGAGGAACACCAGUGGCGAAGGCGGCUUGCUGGACGACAACUGACGCUGAGGCGCGAAAGCGUGGGGAGCAAACAGGAUUAGAUACCCUGGUA
rnacentral:rRNA from 1 species